CAGUAGUCACCCGGGGCGCCGCAAGGCCUCCCGGGUAACCUACCACCCUUUGUUUAUUACACUUUGUUGCUUUGGCAGGCCUGCCCUCGGGCUGCUGGCUCCGGCCGGCGAGCGCUUGCCAGAGGACCACAAAACUCUUGUAUAAUUAGUUUGUCUGAGUACUAUAUAAUAGUUA
rnacentral:misc_RNA from 1 species